UAGGGAAUCUUCGGCAAUGGACGAAAGUCUGACCGAGCAACGCCGCGUGAGUGAAGAAGGUUUUCGGAUCGUAAAACUCUGUUGUUAGAGAAGAACAAGGACGUUAGUAACUGAACGUCCCCUGACGGUAUCUAACCAGAAAGCCACGGCUAACUACGUGCCAGCAGCCGCGGUAAUACGUAGGUGGCAAGCGUUGUCCGGAUUUAUUGGGCGUAAAGCGAGCGCAGGCGGUUUCUUAAGUCUGAUGUGAAAGCCCCCGGCUCAACCGGGGAGGGUCAUUGGAAACUGGGAGACUUGAGUGCAGAAGAGGAGAGUGCAAUUCCAUGUGUAGCGGUGAAAUGCGUAGAUAUAUGGAGGAACACCAGUGACGAAGGCGGCUCUCUGGUCUGUAACUGACGCUGAGGCUCGAAAGCGUGGGGAGCAAACAGG
rnacentral:rRNA from 1 species